CAGCCGCCACGGUAAUACGUAGGUGGCAAGCGUUGUCCGGAGUUAUUGGGCGUAAAGGGCUCGCAGGCGGUUUCUUAAGUCUGAUGUGAAAGCCCCCGGCUCAACCGGGGAGGGUCAUUGGAAACUGGGAAACUUGAGUGCAGAAGAGGAGAGUGGAAUUCCACGUAUAGCGGUGAAAUGCGUAGAGAUGUGGAGGAACACCAGUGGCGAAGGCGACUCUCUGGUCUGUAACUGACGCUGAGGAGCGAAAGCGUGGGGAGCGAACAGGAUUAGAUACCCCUGUAGUCCCUGUCUCUUAUAC
rnacentral:rRNA from 1 species